AUGUGUAGCGGUGAAAUGCGCAGAGAUAUGGAGGAACACCAGUGGCGAAGGCGGCUCUCUGGUCUGUUACUGACGCUGAGGUGCGAAAGCGUGGGGAUCAAACAGGAUUAGAUACCCUGGUAGUCCACGCUGUAAACGUUGGGCACUAGGUGUGGGGCCACCCGUGGUUCCCGCGCCGUAGCUAACGCUUUAAGUGCCCCGCCUGGGGAGUACGGCCGCAAGGCUAAAACUCAAAGGAAUUGAC
rnacentral:rRNA from 1 species